rnacentral:rRNA from 1 species
AUUGAACGCUGGCGGCAGGCCUAACACAUGCAAGUCGAGCGGAUGAAGGGAGCUUGCUCCUGGAUUCAGCGGCGGACGGGUGAGUAAUGCCUAGGAAUCUGCCUGGUAGUGGGGGAUAACGUCCGGAAACGGGCGCUAAUACCGCAUACGUCCUGAGGGAGAAAGUGGGGGAUCUUCGGACCUCACGCUAUCAGAUGAGCCUAGGUCGGAUUAGCUAGUUGGUGGGGUAAAGGCCUACCAAGGCGACGAUCCGUAACUGGUCUGAGAGGAUGAUCAGUCACACUGAAACUGAGACGCGGCCCAGACUUCUAGGGGAGGGAGGAGUGGAAUAUUGGACAAUGGGCGAAAGCCUGAUCCAGCCAUGCCGCGUGUGUGAAGAAGGUCUUCGGAUUGUAAAGCACUUUAAGUUGGGAGGAAGGGCAGUAAGUUAAUACCUUGCUGUUUUGACGUUACCAACAGAAUAAGCACCGGCUAACUUCGUG